rnacentral:rRNA from 1 species
AUGUUCCUAUUUUUAAAAAUUUGUUCACAAAUUCAAAAAAAAAAUCACGUUCUGUUAAUUUUUUUUGACAAUUCAAAAAAUGUUCAUGAUCCCAAAAUCUGUUCAGAAAAUUUUGAAAUGUUUGUUCUUCCAAUUUUUUGUUCGGAAUUUGGUGAAAAGUUCCAUUUUGAACUUUUGUUAAUAAAUUCUAAAAAUGUUCGUAGUUAUAAAUUUUUGUUCAAAUUACAUGAUGUUCCUUUUUUCAAUUAUUUGUUCAAAAAUUCUAAAAAUGUUCGAAGUUUCAAAAUUUGUCCAGAUUUUCAUAAUUUGUACACGUAUUUAAAAAAUGUUCCUUUUGCCGAAAAUUGUUCAAACAUUCAAAAAAUGUUUUGCACAUUUUCAAAGUAUACAUGUUAA